AGAAAAAUAAGAAAAAUUUAAAAAAGGAAAUAUUUUAAUAAAAACGAGAAUUCGAGUAAACAACGGGAAGAAUCGUUAAGAAGGUCAAGCAGACAUGAAGUUCCGAUGUCCGAGAAGGUGCAAACCCACACGUAGCACUGCGGCAAUCUUGUUGUUUCUUACUGAUAACAAGAGAAAGUCCACUCCGACGGAAAAAAUAACAACUUUAUCACAAUUUCAUGUCAAUACGGAGUCUGGAAGAACAAAGCUAAGCCAAUGGGGGUCAUUCCAAAAUUCCCGAUUGAAUACGCCCGCUAAUGAUAAGAGAUUUCUCACCCAUGUUACUGAUAGCAGAAAACAGCAAUAAAAGGUAAAAAAAAUUUUAGAAGAGCAAGCCAGAAGGGUCAGGCAGUCAGUUCAAUUAGUUAGAAGAAUCAAUUAGUACAAGGGUCACCUACGGACCAGACGUCUGGGAGUCUGCUCUCAGACUCUGGACAGAAGACAGGAAAAAUGUAGUAAAGAUGAUUCCGU
rnacentral:lncRNA from 1 species